rnacentral:rRNA from 1 species
GCAAGUCGAGCGGAAACGAUGGGAGCUUGCUCCCAGGCGUCGAGCGGCGGACGGGUGAGUAACGCGUAGGAAUCUGCCCAGUAGAGGGGGAUAGCCCGGGGAAACUCGGAUUAAUACCGCAUACGCCCUACGGGGGAAAGGCCGGGAUCUUCGGACCGGUCGCUAUUGGAUGAGCCUGCGUUGGAUUAGCUAGUUGGUGGGGUAAUGGCCUACCAAGCCUACGAUCUAUAGCUGGUUUGAGAGGAUGAUC